GUCUAUGGCCAUGCCACCUUGAACGUGCCCAAUCUUGUCGGAUCUCAGAAGCUUAGCAGCGUCGGGCCUGGUUAGUACUUGGAUGGGAGACCACCUCGGAAGACCAGGUGCUGUAGUGG
rnacentral:rRNA from 1 species